rnacentral:lncRNA from 1 species
CUGCCCCAUGAUUAAAUUACCUCCCUCUGGCUCCCUCCCACAACACAUGGGGAUUAUGGGAACUAUAAUUCAAGAUGAGAUUUGGGUGGGAACACAGAACCAAGUCAUAUCAUUUCUCCCCUGGCUCCUCCCAAAUCUCAUGUUCUCACAUUUCAAAACACAGUCAUGCCCUUACAACAGUCUACUAAAGUCUUAACUCAUUCCAGCAUUAACUCAAAAGUCCAAGUCCAAAGUCUCAUCUACGACAAGGCAAGUCCCUUCUGCCGAUGAGCCUGUAAAAUCAAAAGCAAAUUAGUUACUUCCUAAAUACAAUGGGGUUGCAGGCAUUGGGUAAAUACUCCUGUUCCAAAUGGGAGAAAUUAGCCAAAACGAAGAGGCUACAGGCCCCAUGCAAAUCUGAAAUCCAAUAGGGCAGUUAUUAAACCUUAAAGUUCCAAAAUGAUUUCCUUUGACUCCACAUCUCACUUCAAGGGCACACUGAUGCAAGAGGUGGGCUCCCACAGCCUUGGGCCGCUCUGCUCCUAUGGCUUUACAGGGUACAGCCACAACUGGAUGCAGGCUCUCUCCAUAAAGCUGAUAGGAUGGCUUCUGACAGU